AUCCCAAAACAAAAAAUUUCGAAAAAUUCAAUAAUCCAUACCGAAAAAAUCCUCAUAUUUCGGUUGGGAAUUGGGAUCUGUUUGCCAAAUGUUGGGUAAUUCCCGAACCGAUAUAUAUAAUAUAUAUUCUUAUAAUUAUAUAUAUUAAAAUAAAUUGUAAGCGUUGGAUUCCGUUGAGAUUAAAUCUCAACCGUUGGGUAAAAGACCUCACUCUCUCUCGUCUCUCAAAGAGUCUGCACUCUCUCUCGAGCAUCGUUUCUGCACUCUCUACUCUCCUCCUCCUCCUCCCUCUGCCGACAGACUCAACACGCUGGCCGUCGAGUCAUCGACCACCACACUUCUAUGAGUCCUCCAUAUUCCAGAUCCAGACUUCUACGGUUUCACCUCCUUCUCCUACCACGACCUCCAAAUCGAAGCUUCUCUGGUCUGAAGCUUCUUCAAUUUGUCACGGACAUAAAGAACAGCGUCAGUAGACAGAGUUUUUAGGGUUUGGUAGGACUUGGUCACAAUUAUCACAAAAUAUACGACCCAACAUGCAAGAGUGAACCAUCCGAAAGCCGGAACGAGGAGGAUCACCAGUAGAACCAACGCAAGAGUUCCACACAAGAGGCUGAUGCUGUUCAUCAAUUCAUAUAUAUUUGUAUUGUUGCAAGCUUGGAGAAUGUUGGCAAUCUCCAAUGUCCCCACAUAAGUGAGUAAAUCAGCAAUCAACAUCACAACAGUAUCGUGGUCUGUGACAAAUGGAGACGGCAAAUUUUCGGUCGCAUACUUCACCUGGAGGAGGACUCCUAGGAUGUUGAGGAGAUGGAAUAUAUAUUUGUGUGCUGCUGGUAGAGAUUUGUGCUGACCACCCUCCACCAUAGUGCUGCUGUAUUAUAAACAACACAGAAAAUUAAUGAACGGGAAAAUGAUCUCUGUAACAUUACUCUAAUGAUAACAUCAGUUCCUAUUUUUCAA